AUGCAACCGGAUAACACGGAUCCUUCUGAGAAAAGUGACAAGCAGGGUCUUCCAGAAGAAAGGAGUGUCAGUCCUAAGGAUCAGUUGGUAGAGUGUGGUUGUAUUCUGCAGGAUCUUGCGGCUAGUACACCUCAAGCAGAACUUAUGAUUAAUAACCUUGUGAUUGAAGUGCUUUUGGACAACCUUCAUACGGCAAAGUCGUCUAGGAUGAAGGGAAUUUGUCUUGGAAUCAUGGGAAACUUAGUCUGUCAUGAAUCUCUAGUUGCUGCAAUCUCUUCGAAAAAAGGUUUAAUUGCAACUGUCGUGGAGCAAUUGUUUCUAAAUGAUGUCAAAUGCCUUUCUGAAGCAUUCAGGUUGUUCGCUGCCAUUCUUCGGUCCAGUGCAUCUGUUUCUUGGGCUCAAGCUCUUUUACCUGAUGAGAUUCUUUCACGUAUUCUACUGAUAGUUGGGAAGACAGAUAAUUGUACAUUACUUGAAAAGAUCAUUGACUUCCUAUCAACUGUCAUUGAUAAUCGAGAUGUGAUUGCUAUGCUUAUCCAGCCCUUGCUUAAACUGGGUUUAGUUGACCGUGUUAUUGGGUUACUAACAAAUGAGAUUGAAAGAUCACCGGAUGAGAAGCUAGACAGAUCAGGUUCUCUUGAUUUGAUCCUUCACUUCAUGGAAGAAUUAUCAGCCAUACACUGUGUUUCAAAGGCAAUGUCAUCGAAUGACCGGCUGAUUAAAGUGUUAGUUAACAUGAUCAAGUGGCCUGAUAAAGUUGAGGUUGCAAGCUAUUGUGCUUCGGUGGUGAUCGUAAUGUCAAAUAUUUUGACAGAUGGAAAGCAUUUGGUGCCUAAGAUAUCCCAUGAUUUACCGUUCCUGGAGGGCCUACUUGAAGUUCUUCCAGAGGUCCCUGAUGAUGACCAAGCUCGAUAUGCACUUUGGAGUAUCUUAUCGCUUAUUCUGGCACAAGUGCAAGGAACUGAGUUGAACUCCUCGUCCCUCGACCAGUUUGCGUCUCUGUUCUCAGGCAAGUUCGGCCUCAUCAAAGAUGACCUCGAGAGUCAGGUGAUUGAUGAAGAGAAGUUAACACCUGAGGAUGCUCUCCUGAAGGAAUGGACAUCGAGAUGUCUCAUGGCAAUCUCCUUCUUCAUGGAGAGAUGGAUCAAGGUGAAGUCCUCGACUGGAGACUCCAUCAACAAUGCUCAGGAGGUGCUGAGCUACUGCCAGAAGGCGCUCCACUAA
rnacentral:rRNA from 1 species